UGGGCAAGCCCGCACCUCCCUCCCUCCUAGCGCACCGGGGCUCACUGACGCGUGAGCUCUGGUCCAACUCCAGCGGCAUUGCUCCAGGCCUCCAACUUGGGUGGCGGCGCGUGUGCAUUCGAGGUGAGUGGUGGUGGCUGCUGCUCUGGCUCAGGUCGUCAGCUAAUUCCAACCUCAAGGUCUAGGCGAGCAUUCUGAUAUCGUAUUCGCUUAGACACACUGGUGUAGUGGUGUCCCCAUCCCCGCUUGUCUUAUGCUUCGAUGUAAUUUUUUCUUCCAUGCUAGAUUUCAUUCAAGAGUGAACACACUUCUGUUUAAGAAAUUGAUGAAAUUGUAUGUGUCGCAUACGUGCAGUUCAUUAAUCUAUACCUAUACCUAUCUAUAAAGAGGGAAAAUUUCAGUGUGCCCACCAAAAUCUUCUGCCCAAUGUGUCCGUGUCGAGGUCACUCUCCCAUCAUGUCCGGAAUCCUACCUGCGCUGGCCCCACGUGAACCGGCACCUCAGGUUGAUGCAGCCACGGCGGGCACUCGGGGUCACGGGAUAGCACAAAGAGGCCGCGCAUGGGUCCCUCGUCAUCGGAGUCAGGGGGCACAGUGGGGGAGGAGCGCUUGCCGCGUCGGGUGGAGAGGGCGCAAAGGCAAGGGUUGUCGUGGAGGCGGAGGCGAGCACCGAGGCGAGAGAUGGCGCCGCCGCCAGUCCACGGAGUCCUCAUCGUCAUCGAGCUCUGGCCAGUCCCCGUCGCCUCCUGGUAUGAUCAUAUACUUCAUGUAUAUAUACUCCAUCGGGUCAUAUACGUCAUAAAUCUAGAGAUAUAUAUAAGUCCAGACGGUAGUUAGAGAAAGACGGACAAAAAAUAUAGAUGGACAAAAGAAGAGCCUAAAAUUUUGCCUCUUUAUUAUUAGGUAUAUAUAUAUAUAUACAAAAUUUUGUAAUAAUACAGAUAUAGAUAUAGAUUUGAUAGCUUUUUUUUCUCCCGUUGCAACGCACGGGCAUUUUUGCUAGUGCAUAUUAAUGCAUAGAGAACUGCAACUACUGAUUUAGGAUACAAAAUGGUUCCACAAAUGCCAUUUUUCUCUGAAUAUGCUGCUUAUUGGUUCAUAAGUCAUAACUAGAUGCAAGUUCAGGGAAAUUCAAUGAUUACAGAACAUAAUAGUUAUGUAGAUGUGCCUUGGCAUUGUAAACUUGACUCAGCAAGCAGAAAAGGUUUGCAAAUCUGAUAGCUGCUUUCUUAUACAAGGUUAGAUGAGUGAGCUCAACUGCUCAAGGGGCUGGUCCAAGAAGGGAAAGUGAAAUACAUUGGCAUGUGUGAAGCAAGCAUGGAUACUACAUCGUGAACUCUGAAAUUUGUCUAUUGAUUUACCAAG
rnacentral:lncRNA from 1 species